AUUGAACGCUGGCGGCAGGCCUAACACAUGCAAGUCGAGCGGAUGAAGGGAGCUUGCUCCUGGAUUCAGCGGCGGACGGGUGAGUAAUGCCUAGGAAUCUGCCUGGUAGUGGGGGAUAACGUCCGGAAACGGGCGCUAAUACCGCAUACGUCCUGAGGGAGAAAGUGGGGGAUCUUCGGACCUCACGCUAUCAGAUGAGCCUAGGUCGGAUUAGCUAGUUGGUGGGGUAAAGGCCUACCAAGGCGACGAUCCGUAACUGGUCUGAGAGGAUGAUCAGUCACACUGGAACUGAGACACGGUCCAGACUCCUACGGGAGGCAGCAGUGGGGAAUAUUGGACAAUGGGCGAAAGCCUGAUCCAGCCAUGCCGCGUGUGGGAAGAAGGUCUUCGGAUUGUAAAGCACUUUAAGUUGGGAGGAAGGGCAGUAAGUUAAUACCUUGCUGUUUUGACGUUACCAACAGAAUAAGCACCGGCUAACUUCGUGC
rnacentral:rRNA from 1 species